rnacentral:rRNA from 1 species
AGUGAACGCUGGCGGUAGGCCUAACACAUGCAAGUCGAACGGCAGCACAGUAAGAGCUUGCUCUUACGGGUGGCGAGUGGCGGACGGGUGAGGAAUACAUCGGAAUCUACUUUUUCGUGGGGGAGAACGUAGGGAAACUUACGCUAAUACCGCAUACGACCUACGGGUGAAAGCAGGGGAUCUUCGGACCUUGCGCGAUUGAAUGAGCCGAUGUCGGAUUAGCUAGUUGGCGGGGUAAAGGCCCACCAAGGCGACGAUCCGUAGCUGGUCUGAGAGGAUGAUCAGCCACACUGGAACUGAGACACGGUCCAGACUCCUACGGGAGGCAGCAGUGGGGAAUAUUGGACAAUGGGCGCAAGCCUGAUCCAGCCAUACCGCGUGGGUGAAGAAGGCCUUCGGGUUGUAAAGCCCUUUUGUUGGGAAAGAAAAGCAGCAGGUUAAUACCCCGCCGUUCUGACGGUACCCAAAGAAUAAGCACCGGCUAACUUCGUG